rnacentral:lncRNA from 1 species
UGGAGGCUUCUCUAUCCUAUUCAAGUCCGUGCCUUGCGGAGCUAUAGGGCAUACUGAGGAAUCGGAGGUGGUGGGGGAGGUGGAGUGUUCAGAUUCGUAAGAACGAACUCCGUGUGCCAAGCGUCCAUCAUUUGGAGAUAGACUUUUCUAGCCCCUCCACCUUGGCCUAUAGUUAUGGGCUCACACUCGACUGGCGCGGUCCUUUCAGCAGGAGCCAGCGCGUUACUCUCCAUGUCAUCCGCCG